UUCAUCACACGAUCUAGGGCUGCUGGGUGGUGAACGGCGGCUGCUGGGCGAACAGCUGCUCGGCGGCGGCUGGGUGAACGGCGAUGGUGAUGGUGGUGAACGCCUCCAGCAAGCGUGGGUUCUCGGCUCCAGCACUCUCGGCGUCGUUGACAGGAACGGUGAUAGGAAAAUCUUCUCCGGCGUUGGUUCUCGGCUCCAGCACUCUCGGCGUCGUUGACAGGAACGGUGAUAGGAAAAUCUUCUCUGGCGUUGGUUCUCGGCUCCAGCACUCUCGGCGGCGGUGCGGGUUCUCGGCUCCAUCACUCUCGGCGGCGGCGUGCUUCUCAGCGUGGGUCUCUGCUGGUUGCUGGUUCACGAUUCCAGCAGCCGUUGCAGCCCCAAAUUAGUAGAAAUUAAAUGAUGGCUUCUACUAAAGAUCAAGUUCUACAAGCUAGCAAAUAUUGUCGGAAAUUGCACUAAAUGAUCAGGUUCGUCGCUUGAAAGAAUUUGGGGUUACCAAGGGAGAAUUGACUCGCUAUUUGGAUGUACUUUUGAAAGAUAGUGAACAUCUGGCAGCUAUGAUUGAUAAUGUGUCAUCCGUAGAUAAUUUGGAUUUCAUUAUGGAGAGUGACGCAUUGGGCCAUACAGUAAUAGACCAGAGGCAAGGACAUGAGAGUUUGGUCACUGUUGCUGGAACAAUUAAACUUGAGGAGGUAACAACUUUACUAUACAAGACUAGUUCUGUCUUUAGAAUCUGUACUGUGUUGAGCUUGAUGAUCUUCUGUAAGAACUUAGCUCUUCAUUCAAAUAAUAAUAUUAAAUUAAAUGGUAGUCUUGUUGAGGUAGUGUGGUUAUAUAGCUUUAUGGUGAAGUUUUAUUCAUCUUUGGGUGUGUUGUGCUUUUGUGCAAAAAAUUAAGCAGUUAUCUUAGUUUUGGUCAUUUGGUUAAUUGGUGAACUAAAGUGUUUUUUUUUACUGUCUGUGCAGCCUCCUAGUAUAUAUUUAUUGAUCUUUUAUUCUCAGUUA